UGGAAGUAAAAGUCGUAACAAGGUCUCCGUUGGUGAACCAGCGGAG
rnacentral:rRNA from 1 species